GACGAACGCUGGCGGCGUGCCUAAUACAUGCAAGUAGAACGCUGAAGGAGGAGCUUGCUUCUCCGGAUGAGUUGCGAACGGGUGAGUAACGCGUAGGUAACCUGCCUGGUAGCGGGGGAUAACUAUUGGAAACGAUAGCUAAUACCGCAUAACAGUAGAUGUUGCAUGACAUUUGCUUAAAAGGUGCAAUUGCAUCACUACCAGAUGGACCUGCGUUGUAUUAGCUAGUUGGUGAGGUAACGGCUCACCAAGGCGACGAUACAUAGCCGACCUGAGAGGGGGAGCGGCCACACUGGGACUGAGACGCGGCCCAGACGCCUACGGGAGGCAGCAGUAGGGAAUCUGCGGCAAUGGACGGAAGUCUGACCGAGCAACGCCGAGUGAGUGAAGAAGGUUUUCGGAUCGUAAAGCUCUGUUGUAAGAGAAGAACGAGUGUGAGAGUGGAAAGUUCACACUGUGACGGUAUCUUACCAGAAAGGGACGGCUAACUACGUG
rnacentral:rRNA from 1 species